UCUGAAUUGAUCUUCUUGCUUGUCUCCUCUGCAUAGCUGUUGAGUUCCCUUGCACUAUGACUUGCUGGUCGUUUGGGGCACGUUGGGAGAUACUGAAACCAGUUAGCAGCACAGAACUUGGAACCAAAUCCAAAGGUGUUUAUGUUUUAAUUGUUCUGUAACCCACCUCAAGCCAUGAGGAGAGGCAGAUAAAGGAUUAUGCAUCAAAAAAGCCACAGUCUUCUUAUGUACCUGUUUCCAGCAUGUGUGAAUUAUUCUGUACCCAGUAAGGAAGUGUUAAACCCGUGAAUACUGAAAAUCCGAAGAUGAACAAGUUUCUUGAAGAGUUCAUAUCUACGUACUGAAAAAAGAGUUCCUUGCAGGAGCACAUGUGAGCAGACUCGUCUCUUGGGCGUGAGUCCACAGGUCUCCUUCCUAUGGCCACGGAUGAAUAAAUCUGCCCCUGUCUUAUGUCUUCAACUGCCUUUGAUAAGAAACUACCAGGGCCAGCUAAUUACAUCCCAACAAAGGAUUCCCCCAGGAGGAAAGCAGCCAAGCUUUGAAGAUUCAAGGUUGUUCAAUGCUAAUCAAGAUGAUCAUUUGCAACAUUCAACACUUGCCUCUAACAGGCAAUAGUUCUUUCUCCCACCCUGGACAUUCCACGAAUAUAGAAACCCCACAGCCUCUGAGAAUCAUAGAUAUGGGUGAAACGUCAGGAGAGAAUGCUUCUGGAACAUAGACAUACAGCCCGGAGUACUCAUAGCAACCGAGUGAUUCUGGUCAUGAAAACCAUCAACAGCACAUUAAUCAAGAUAUUGUUUAAAAGCAAAAGUGGUAUUAAAUCUGCCAUGUCUUUUGGAAAAGCAGAAGUUACAUUAUUAUUGAACACAUACCACCACCGUGGACUACUGCUCUCAGAAACCCCAGGCCAUCAAGGCAGCAAUGUAUCUAAGCUUGGCAUGUUUGACUUGUAAACCUCCAAAACAAAAGACAUGAAUACGAACACACAGUGCAUACCUCUCGCAUUCGUGUCUGCCAGACCUCAAUAAAUAUUGGAGAAGUAGCAUUGACCAAGGUGGCAUUUUGGGUCCAAGCAGGGCACUGCCAUUGGGGGAGACUGAGCAUGGCCAGUGUAGGGGUUACGAAGGCAAACGUUCCUCCUUGUAAGAUAGGCAGCCUGUGUUGAGGGCAGAAUGGUGGGGAGGAAGACAUAUGGUUCAACAGAAGGAACUUUGCAAGUUUUCUUGAACGAGACAGAUUAUACAUUAACGCAAAAAUAACAGCAACUUUCAUCUUUGAAAUCAUUGAUCUAUCUUUGACACCCAAUGAAUGGCAUAGCUAAAACUAGUGGUCUCCAACUGCAUUGGCUACAACUGCCAUCAUUGGUCUUCACCCAUUUCUUAUGACCUUACUUAAGGUAAUCCAAUGGUAACCGAAUAAGGAAGGAAAGGGGAAAGAGGAUGCGAGAAAAAGAGAUUUUCACACUGGCCAAGAAUGAUAUAUUAUACCAGAAAGGAAAAAAUGGUCUGCAGAAGAUUGAUGGACUCCAACCUUGACAACAACAAACAAAAAGACAAUGUUACUCCUUAUUUUUGCGUGCCCUGCAAAACAUUCCUUUGACUCUUGUUUCUUCCUUCUGAAAAAUAUUGGCAUCCGAUUUCAUUACCCUCCCAACACAAACACACAAGCCAAAGACCAAGCACACACAGGAGAGAAGUGUGUGUGUGUGAGGGGGGUAGUUGUACAGAUCAUUUUAUGGAAGACUCAUAUAUGUAUUUGUUUCUUUCACACAUACAUGUGCUGGAAAAUAGACCUGCAAAUAACCAUGAUUGAAUUUAUAUUUCCAGGCUCUCCAUAUACCAUAUACAUUCUGUAGGUGGCAAAAAGCUUUACAUUACUCUUCCCACACCUGCUGUCCGCCACUAAUUUUGGUCUAUAAUUCCCAGACAUAAGAACUCCCUUAAUUCUCCACUGAAACAAUCCAUAUUAAGGUGAAAUGAAAACCAGAGGUAACUAUUUAGCUAACAUGUUUCUUCAUUUCUGGAUGUCUUUUUAAAAAAGACAUCACAAAAAUCAAAGCAUCAUAGAACUGAAAAGGACUGCAAGGGCCAUUCAGGAACACAGUACUAAUUUCAAUUCACCUUCACAGGAGAAAUACACAUAGAGACCUUCUCACGAGAUCAAUACCACAAUAAACCUUGGCAACACAUAUAAAGAAAUAUUUUUGCACUGAUGUACUUCAAAGAAGGCAUUGUAAUUUUGUAAACUUGGUGCUCACAGAUCUGCCCAAGGCAUUUAUUCGCAUCUAUUGGCAUCUUCCACAGGAGCUGCAGUGAUGCAAUGGGUUGAACCCUUGUGCCGGCUGAACUUCUGACCUGAAGGUUUUCAGUGUGAAUCCGCAAGGUGGGGUGAGCUCCCCUCUGCCAGCUCUUGCUUGCGUGGACAUGAGAGAAGCCUCCCAGCAAACACAUCUGGCUGUUCCCUGGGCAACGUCUCUGUAGACGGCCAAUCCUCUCACACCAGAAGCUACUUGCAAUAUGUUCUCAAGUCACUUCUGACAUGAUAAAAAAGCAUGUUCCACAAAUUAAAGGUUAUAUCUGAGGCAAUCAUAAAGGUGCUUUGGGUGUGGAGGAAUAUAUCUCUCAUUUUUCAUUACAUUGAGACAUAUUGCUGUUUUGUUCAGCUGACACACAUCAGCAGACUAAAACAAUACUAGCAAAGGAAACUGUUUCGCCUGCUCUUUGUGUUGUAGGGAUAUGAGUUAUGCCCACCAAUAGAGUUAUCCAGAUAGAAAACUGGGGAGGACUCCUGUCUCUUUAAUGGUUAUGGAAAAGCAUGAAUUUCAGCAGGUGAUGCUUGUCAUGCCACCAGGUAACAAGUCAAGAUACAGCUGCUGAAAUCCCUCUUAUUCACCACCAUCAAAGGUAUAUGAGCCCUCUCCAGUUUUCUCUCUUGCAACCCUAUUUACCAAUCUUGCCCAUGUUGCUUAACAUGUCUAAAUCCUGAUUCUAAGUUUUCCUCUCAGUCAACAUUUUAUUAGCUCAUCUAGUUUUCCAUUGUCUAGACCAAUUAGAACAGCCAAAGAAAAAACUCAUAAACCCCAAAACUCAUAAACCCCAAAGCACAUGUUUACUUCUAAGUAAACAGAUAUUUAAGAAUGGGUGUUUUCAAAGGGCCCUUCCACACAGCCAUAUAACCCAGAAUAUCAAGUCAGAGAAUCCACAAUAUCUGCUUUGAACUGGAUUAUCUGAGUCCACACUGCCAAAUAAUCCAGUUCACCAUGAAUUUUAUACAGCUGUGUGGAAGGGACCAAAGUUAGUGGACAAGGGUGAGUGAUGUUAUGCUUUGCAAACAAAACAUUCCCGAUGCAAAUAUUGUCUUUCUCUCCAACUAGGAUCAGCGUUAUGACAGGACUCCAAUAGGAAUGGUUGUUCUCUGUUCUGCUACUGAACUAUGAUCUUCAAUCUGGAUGCUCCUUCUUUUCCUAUCAUAACGUUAAUGCAAUGAUCAGAGGCAGUACCACUACAGCACUGCUUUCUAAUGGAUAGGUGCUUUUAAAUUGUUUGGAAGUGAGAUCCAUCCGUAAAUGUAUCCAAUCUUACAUUAUCCACUAAUAAACAAAUUCUGUUUUUUGAGCUGACCAUUCUCUUUCUACAAUAGAACUAUAGCAAUACCAUUAUGUAUAUUCAGAGAGAGAGAGAGAUAGCGUUUCAGAAUUUUUCUGCCAUGUAGUAUCUGCCUCCUUUUAACCACCUGGAUAAAAUAAAACACCACAAAUCCUGCA